UUACGGUCAUAUCACGCUGAAACACCGUUUCUCAUACGAUCACCGAAGUUAAGCAACAUCAAGAGGAGUCAGUAUCUGGAUCAGUGACCGCUUCGGAAUACAAGGUGCUAUA